AAUAGAUACCCAGGUAGUCCACGCCGUAAACGAUGAGUGCUAAGUGUUAGAGGGUUUCCGCCCUUUAGUGCUGCAGCUAACGCAUUAAGCACUCCGCCUGGGGAGUACGGCCGCAAGGCUGAAACUCAAAGGAAUUGACGGGGGCCCGCACAAGCGGUGGAGCAUGUGGUUUAAUUCGAAGCAACGCGAAGAACCUUACCAGGUCUUGACAUCCUCUGCCAACCCUAGAGAUAGGGCGUUCCCCUUCGGGGGACAGAGUGACAGGUGGUGCAUGGUUGUCGUCAGCUCGUGUCGUGAGAUGUUGGGUUAAGUCCCGCAACGAGCGCAACCCUUGAUCUUAGUUGCCAGCAUUCAGUUGGGGCACUCUAAGGUGACUGCCGGUGACAAACCGGAGGAAGGUGGGGAUGACGUCAAAUCAUCAUGCCCCCUUAUGACCAGGGCUACACACGUGCUACAAUGGAUGGUACAAAGAGCUGCGAACCCGCGAGGGUAAGCCAAUCUCAUAAAGCCAUUCUCAGUUCGGAUUGU
rnacentral:rRNA from 1 species